GCUGCACCAGAUCGUUCCUCCAAAAGACAGGAUCGAAUCAAGGUGUCAAUUGGUGAUCCUUUAAGAGCAUUUCCAAGCUCCUUGCAUGUCCAGAGGAUUAAUCCUCCUCUAGUGAAUAUAAGCAAUUGCUCUAACAUCCUCGAUUUUCACAAAAUACCUCUUUUUGUUUUUUUUCCUGAACGAACAGGGGAAAUUCGGGGGAAAGAAAAAAAAAAGGAAAUUUUUGACCCGU
rnacentral:misc_RNA from 1 species